CAGAAAUGGGAAUAUCUUUGCCGGCACCCAGCGCUUCUCAUUCUGCUGCCUUUUGCCAUCCCCAGACACAGCAAUCCAUCCUCCGGCUCCCCGCUCCCGGCGCAGACAGGCCUCCCGUGCUCUUUAAAAGCUACGCAGGAGAAAUCCUGAGUUUGAUCAACCGUGCAGAACUGAAGCUGCAGAAUCAGUGGCACGUCUUUUCUCCCCCGUUGAGGAGCUGGUCUGGAUUUGCGCAGGAUGCAGCCCCAGCCCCUGCGCUGGGAUCCAGGGGGAUGAUGAUGAUGAUGAUACUUGGACACGGUUUCACCUCCUGCUGUUUGGCUGGCCGGCUUACCAGGGCUUGGAUGAAUUCUCAAGAGAAAGAUGUCAAAGGAUUUGGAGCGAGAGCAGCAGCACCCUGAGCUGCUCCCAGGGAGUUCUGGGCACCCCCAUUAGCAGAACCAGCAGAGAAGCCUCAGUGGAGCCCCCCAAACACACGCGGAUUAUCUUUGGUUUCAAAGCAAACUGAGGUUUCUCAGAGGGCAGCACUGUGCUGUUCUCUCUCAUUUUUAACCCGGGUUCCUAAAGCUCAUGGAUUUGUGCUGUCUGUCCAGCUGCUCCCCGUGCUACACGCACAGCAAGUGUUUUGAGAACAGUUCCCUGCCCGAAUCUUGAAUUUUGAUGCCAAAAUGGGGGAAGUUCUUCACAAAAAGUCCAUCAUGAGUUAACCAUUAUGUGUUAUUUAUUUUUUAAAGUAUUUUAAAAACAUUUCCCCUCUGAGUAAAGAGCACCCUGCUCAGCAUUUCACAGCCCGUAUCUCCUGAGGUUUCUGCCUACUGCUCCUCCUAAUUCCGCUGUUAUAACCAACAUGAAAACUGUAUGAAACUCGAGGCCAGAUUCUGAGCUAUCUUAUUUUAGCUCCGUAUUCCUGGCUCAGAUGACCAUUCCUUGCCCCUGAAAUCCAUUCCAUACCAAGUCCAGUACCCGGCCCUCUGACGCUCUCCAUGGGAGCAAAAGCAUUGGGACACAGCAUGGGCAGAGUGGUUCAACUCCAUUUAAAAGGAAAAUCCACGAAUGCCAAAGUUUCAUCCCCUAUACCCACAUCCAGACUGCAACAUCUCAAAGCUUCUGAAUAAAAAACUGGUUUUCUUUGUCCUGUUCUGAGAA